CCUACGGGAGGCAGCAGUAGGGAAUCUUCCACAAUGGGCGAAAGCCUGAUGGAGCAACGCCGCGUGGGUGAAGAAGGUCUUCGGAUCGUAAAACCCUGUUGUUAGAGAAGAAAGUGCGUGAGAGUAACUGUUCACGUUUCGACGGUAUCUAACCAGAAAGCCACGGCUAACUACGUGCCAGCAGCCGCGGUAAUACGUAGGUGGCAAGCGUUAUCCGGAUUUAUUGGGCGUAAAGGGAACGCAGGCGGUCUUUUAAGUCUGAUGUGAAAGCCUUCGGCUUAACCGGAGUAGUGCAUUGGAAACUGGGAGACUGGAGUGCAGAAGAGGAGAGUGGAACUCCAUGUGUAGCGAUGAAAUGCGUAGAUAUAUGGAAGAACACCAGUGGCGAAAGCGGCUCUCUGGUCUGUAACUGACGCUGAGGUUCGAAAGCGUGGGUAGCAAACAGGAUUAGAUACCCCAGUAGUC
rnacentral:rRNA from 1 species